GAUGAACGCUAGCGGCAGGCUUAAUACAUGCAAGUCGAGGGGCAGCAUGAGUAGCAAUACUUGAUGGCGACCGGCAAACGGGUGCGGAACACGUACACAACCUUCCUUCAAGCGAGGAAUAGCCCAGAGAAAUUUGGAUUAAUACCUCAUAGCAUAUUAGAGUGGCAUCACUUCUAUAUUAAAGAUUUAUCACUUGAAGAUGGGUGUGCGGCUGAUUAGAUAGUUGGCGGGGUAACGGCCCACCAAGUCUACGAUCAGUAGCUGAUGUGAGAGCAUGAUCAGCCACACGGGCACUGAGACACGGGCCCGACUCCUACGGGAGGCAGCAGUAAGGAAUAUUGGUCAAUGGACGAAAGUCUGAACCAGCCAUGCCGCGUGAAGGAUGAAGGUCCUCUGGAUUGUAAACUUCUUUUAUAUGGGACGAAAAAAGGUCAUUCUUGAUCACUUGACGGUACCAUUUGAAUAAGCACCGGCUAACUCCGUGCCAGCAGCAGCCGCGG
rnacentral:rRNA from 1 species